GGUGAUAAUGGAAAAAGGGACACACCUGAUACCAUUCCGAACUCAGAAGUUAAGCCUUUUAUCGCCGAUGG
rnacentral:rRNA from 1 species